rnacentral:rRNA from 1 species
GACGAACGCUGGCGGCGUGCUUAACACAUGCAAGUCGAACGAAAAGAGGGAAAGAGCUUGCUCUUUCCGGAAUUGAGUGGCAAACGGGUGAGUAACACGUAAACAACCUGCCUUCAGGAUGGGGACAACAGACGGAAACGACUGCUAAUACCGAAUAAGUUCCAAGGGCCGCAUGGCCCAUGGAAGAAAAGGUGGCCUCUAUCUGUAAGCUAUCGCCUGAAGAGGGGUUUGCGUCUGAUUAGCUGGUUGGAGGGGUAACGGCCCACCAAGGCGACGAUCAGUAGCCGGUCUGAGAGGAUGAACGGCCACACUGGAACUGAGACACGGUCCAGACUCCUACGGGAGGCAGCAGUGGGGAAUCUUCCGCAAUGGGCGAAAGCCUGACGGAGCAACGCCGCGUGAGUGAUGACGGCCUUCGGGUUGUAAAACUCUGUGAUCCGGGACGAAAAGGCAGAGUGCGAAGAACAAACUGCAUUGACGGUACCGGAAAAGCAAGCCACGGCUAACUACGUG